GAACCAUUGGAUGGGAUUCACCUGACCUGAUUAGGGCGUCCAUCCAGGCCCUCCAGCAGAGCAUCCUCAGCUGAGAGGAGUUGUACAGUCAUGGCCGGGGGGAUACAAGACCUCCUCAGUCUCUGUUGGGCAGGACUGAGACAGCAGUCUGUCACUGGGGAAGCAGUGCACAGUUCUGGUGGGAACAACAACUUCCAUGCAGAAGUUCCAAUGAUGUUGAAUGUGGAGCUGGGGAUAUUUUUAGAGAAAACUUUGGGAACAGGACCGGACCCCCUGCAUCACAGGCCUCUGGUGAAUUGUCGUAUGUUUGUGGAAGUAGUCCCUUGUGCAUCAGGGCCUCCUCUCCUCCUCUACACUACAGCUCUGCUAGAUCCCCCUUUACUUCUGCAGAUACAGGACAUGACAGUUCUGCUUUUAGAUAAACAUUGUUCCGCCCACAACUAUUUCCAUUUGUAGUAAUCUGCAUAUGAAGGACACAGUCUGUGUGGACUGUUUAAAAACCUAGUAGAAUCAGUAUGAUUAAAUUUGAAAUAUACCAAAGGCCAUGUUUCCUU